rnacentral:rRNA from 1 species
GUCUAUGGCCAUGCCACCCUGAACACACCCGAUCCUGUCUGAUCUUGGAAGCUAAGCAGGGUCGGGCCUGGUUAGUACUUGGAUGGGAGACCACCCGGGAAGACCAGGUGCUGUAGGUG